CACAUUUACAGCGAGCCGUAGAGAGAGAUGUCCGUCCUCGGACAAGGUCCAGCUAAUGGACCCGGAUGAACUGAACAAAGCCCCCCUUUGUCGGAGUGACGGGGAGUGUGGACAGGAGGAGAAGUGUUGUGGAACUCCCAGCGGCCUGCGGUGUCUCGACACGGUGGACCAAGGUACAUAUAAUCAUAUAUGUAGAGAACUACACAGUAUGAAUUGAGUUAUGUCAUAUAAAGCUUGAUAAAGAAUCAAAGAUCCAUGUACAGAAACUAAUAUGACUGUGUUAAGAAUCCGGUAAAUUCACAACCAUUUGAUAUCGUUGUAUAUAUUUUGAGAAAAUAAACCAUAUGCUUUGAUUCUGUUAAUUGCAUGCAGGUGUUGCAUUGUGAUUUUUUUUUCUUCUAUUACACUAGUUUUAACGAUUGAAUACAAUACUAAAUUUAAAUUAAAUCAAUUUUUUAUUUGAAAAAGAGAAUGUAAAUGUAUUUCAAGUAUUAAAAAAAAUCACACUGUGCAUUUAAACUAUGAACGUUAAAAUAUAUAUGCUCUAAUAAAACACAGACACAUAAACUAUCUUUAGAGCCUCUCGUUAUUUUUUGACUAGACAAAUAUACGAAAAAAGAUGACGACGACGAUGAUGAUGAUUGUGACGAUGAAGAGAAAGGGUCCGACUACAAGAAGAGAAAAUCAAAGUGCCACCGACAUACCUACGUCCAUCCUCUGAUUAUAACAGCCAUCUUUCUUAUAGUUGUGUUGUUUAUCAUUGUUAUAUUGACUUUUAUCCGAAAGUUCUGUACACGUGCCCGCAGUAAAAUAGGAAAUUCUCGAACGGAUCUAAAUACAGUGAGUGGGGGAAUGAAAGGUCGAGCUUCAGAUUAUACCGUCAAAUCAAAGUCAACAGACGAGGAUAAACCUUGUAAAAAGGAGAAAACCCCACACACCUGGAUGGACACUGCUCCACCCCCUCCCUACUUCAUGGCACCGUCCGCCCCUCCCGCUUAUACCGUAGAUCCGCCACCCAAAUACAAACAAACUGCAAAUCAGGACGAAAAAAUUAGAUAUUGAUUAUUUUUUACGUCUUUAUUUUUCACUUUUUCACUCUUACUUCUUUUGUGUUGAGAAAUUAUUUUUGAAAACAUGUAUCUGUCGAUAAUAAAAACGUGUUUUAAUGGUGUUCACCGAGUAAAAUAAUUGCGAAAAGACACUUUGAUCUUGACUUAAUAUGUGUUAUGAAAGAUUUUGCUAAUCUGAAACUGUGUAACUGCUGGAAUGAUUAUAUAUUUAAUCAAUAAAAUGGUUUCUUUGUCCGUAUGGAAUAUGAAGGUAUAGCCAACGUGUAGAGGAUAAUUAUAUUUUACACACAAGGCUUUGCAAUAAUGCCAUUUUUGCAAAGCUAGAGUAUUGUGACAUAUGGUAUUAUAAAAUUAUUAUGCAUGUGUAUACUUAUAUAAAUUACAAAUCAAAAUAU
rnacentral:misc_RNA from 1 species